GACGAACGCUGGCGGCGUGCUUAACACAUGCAAGUCGAACGGAAAGGCCCUGCUGUUGUGGGGUGCUCGAGUGGCGAACGGGUGAGUAACACGUGAGUAACCUGCCCUUGACUUUGGGAUAACUUCAGGAAACUGGGGCUAAUACCGGAUAGGCGCUCCUGCUGCAUGGGGGGGGUUGGAAAGUUUUGGCGGUUGGGGAUGGACUCGGGGCUUAUCAGCUUGUUGGUGGGGUAGUGGCUUACCAAGGCUUUGACGGGUAGCCGGCCUGAGAGGGUGACCGGCCACAUUGGGACUGAGAUACGGCCCAGACUCCUACGGGAGGCAGCAGUGGGGAAUAUUGCACAAUGGGCGGAAGCCUGAUGAAGCAACGCCGCGUGCGGGAUGACGGCCUUCGGGUUGUAACCCGCUUUCGCCUGUGACGAAGCGUGAGUGACGGUACUGGGUAAAGAAGCACCGGCUAACUACGUG
rnacentral:rRNA from 1 species